rnacentral:tRNA from 1 species
UGAUAAUUAGUUUAAACCAAAAACAAAUGAUUUCGACUCAUUAGAUUGUAGUAAGAACUAUAAUUAUCAA